CCUACGGGAGGCAGCAGUGAGGAAUAUUGGUCAAUGGGCGUAAGCCUGAACCAGCCAAGUCGCGUGAGUGAUGAAGGUUCUAUGGAUCGUAAACCUCUUUUAUAAGGGAAUAAAGUGUGGGACGUGUCCUGUUUUGUAUGUACCUUAUGAAUCAGGAUCGGCUAACUCCGUGCCAGCAGCCGCGGUAAUACGGAGGAUCCGAGCGUUAUCCGGAUUUAUUGGGUUUAAGGGGUGCGUAGGCGGCCUUUUAAGUCAGCGGUGAAAGUCUGUGGCUCAACCAUAGAAUUGCCGUUGAAACUGGGAGGCUUGAGUAUGUUUGAGGCAGGCGGAAUGCGUGGUGUAGCGGUGAAAUGCUUAGAUAUCACGCAGAACCCCGAUUGCGAAGGCAGCCUGCCAAGCCAUGACUGACGCUGAUGCACGAAAGCGUGGGGAUCAAACAGGAUUAGAUACCCCUGUAGUC
rnacentral:rRNA from 1 species